GAAACGUCGUCUUACGUACUCCUCGGUCGAGGGUCAAAUAUACUUAAAAUCGCGAGUGCUUCAGACGAUUUCAUAGAUGGAGGAAAUAAAACGUUUUUGUCAGAGACGCAUGGGAUACGCAAUGGACGUGGAUAAAGAUAGUUGGCGAACAUUUAUGCGAAUCUACGUUCUCGUAGACGCGAUUAGAGGAAUGGAACCCCAGAAGCAAUUUAUUUUAGACUAACAGAAGGAUUUAAUGGCCUUUGCGGUAUUACUUAGAGUUUAAUUGCAAGUGAGAGAAUCGAAUCGACGUAUACAGAGUGCCCCAAAUUUAAACGGGCAAACUGCGAGCAAUUAAUCUACGGACAAAAAGAAGAAAAAGAGAUAUAUAGAGUUCGUUAGCAGAGGCCUUGUUACAAAGUUACAAAUAAACAUUGUACGCGUGAAAUAAAUAACGAGACGUAUUUUCCAUCGCAGCACGCAAAAGUCGACUGUAUUAUUGUAUCGGCGUAGUUACAUGCUUUUUUCCUUUUUUCUCG
rnacentral:misc_RNA from 1 species